AGAGGCCAAGGAGGCCAUUACCUCCAAGACAGCUAUGUGGUCACGAGGAGAGUCAGGACAUGUGGGUCUAAGUCCCUGAUGUCCCACAAGACCUUGACAAAGUUGCUGAACCCUCUGGGGCCUCAACUCCUUCAUCCGCAAACUGGGCGAACAGUAGCUACUCCCAAGCUUGCUGCACAGAUGAAAUGAGACCAGGCCCACUUAGCCUCUUUGUGAACCACAGGGACUCCCACAACAUGUGAGGCCCACCCACGCCUCAGACACUGGGCUCUGAGAAAAGGGGGUGGCAACAAUUGAGCUCCAGAAGCAGCCAGACUGCUGCCAGGCCAGGAGCCCAGGGCAGCCAGGAAGGAGGCCACUGCUGGGCCCAGGAGGCAGCAGGCGGAGGGUUCUCCAGGAUGGAAGGGUCCAGGAAGAAAUGAGAGCCACAGAGGCAGGUCUCAGCCCUGGCCCAUCAGAGGAUCCAUGCAGGAAGCCACUUCAGCCUGCUGCCCACUGCUCACCUCCUGCACAGACCCCAUGCCAUCAGAGACCAGGUACCCAGGGCCUGGGCAAUGGCCCAACCUCAGCUCAAACUUCAGCCCUCCCUUCUGACAGCUUUCCCUGAACACGGCUCUGGACUGUACCCCAAACUGUACCCAGCACCCAUUUGACAGCCCACCAGUCCACGUUCCUGCAGCUCUAGUAGGGCAGGCAGUGUGGACAAGAGAGUUCUGCCAUGGCCAGCCCAUGACCCCAGGUGUGACCCCACCAACCAGGCCAGCCUGGAAAGGCCAUGCUGCUCACACCCGAGGGCUGCCUGCCCAUCAGCCAGGACCGACUCAGGGGACAAAGAGAGGCCUGUGCAUCAGCAACCUACUCCACAAGACACAAUCGAGGAACAGCCUUCUGGGAGGUUGGCGGUGGAAAGGAAGCAUACACCUGGAUGGCCUCUUUGGUCCUCUAAGGCGGCGAAAUGACUUGCUCUCCUCUGCCCCAUAUCCAUGAGCAAGCCAGGCGCAUCCUACCUUCAAUCCCAAGACCCAGGCAAGAGCUGCUCAAGAAAUUUGAGGUGAAGUGACUUCUUUACUUUUUAAGUUUUCCAAUCUGAUGCCAACAGAUAUUUUUGUGAAAUAAAAUUAAAAAUGAUGUGGCAAUGUCAAGUUGCCAAACAAGUUUCUCAAGGCUUUCUCUCAAAGUCUGCAUGUCUCUCACCAUACACCCAUCCAGCACAGCUCAGGAUGGGCAGAGGUCUGCGGACCACGGUCUCCAUUGCCUGGCAGAGCCACUGUGCUCCCAGUGUUCCAAGAGGAACCUGGUGCAGGGC
rnacentral:lncRNA from 1 species